AUUGAACGCUGGCGGCAGGCCUAACACAUGCAAGUCGAGCGGCAGCGGGAAAGUAGCUUGCUACUUUUGCCGGCGAGCGGCGGACGGGUGAGUAAUGCCUGGGGAUCUGCCCAGUCGAGGGGGAUAACUACUGGAAACGGUAGCUAAUACCGCAUACGCCCUACGGGGGACAGCAGGGGACCUUCGGGCCUUGCGCGAUUGGAUGAACCCGGGUGGGAUUAGCUAGUUGGUGAGGUAAUGGCUCACCAAGGCGACGAUCCCUAGCUGGUCCGAGAGGAUGAUCAGCCACACUGGAACUGAGACACGGUCCAGACUCCUACGGGAGGCAGCAGUGGGGAAUAUUGGACAAUGGGCGCAAGCCUGAUCCAGCCAUGCCGCGUGUGUGAAGAAGGCCUUCGGGUUGUAAAGCACUUUCAGUAGGGAGGAAGGGUGUUGUGUUAAUAGCACAGCAUUUUGACGUUACCUACAGAAGAAGCACCGGCUAACUACGUGCCAGCCGCCGCAGUAACAC
rnacentral:rRNA from 1 species